rnacentral:rRNA from 1 species
UACGUAGGGGGCUAGCGUUGUCCGGAAUCAUUGGGCGUAAAGAGCGUGUAGGCGGCCCGGUAAGUCCGCUGUGAAAGUCGGGGGCUCAACCCUCGAAUGCCGGUGGAUACUGUCGGGCUAGAGUGCGGAAGAGGCGAGUGGAAUUCCUGGUGUAGCGGUGGAAUGCGCAGAUAUCAGGAGGAACACCAACGGCGAAGGCAGCUCGCUGGGACGGUACUGACACUAAGGCGCGAAAGCGUGGGGAGCGAACAGG